GACGAACGCUGGCGGCGUGCUUAACACAUGCAAGUCGAACGGUAAGGCCCUUCGGGGUACACGAGUGGCGAACGGGUGAGUAACACGUGGGUGAUCUGCCCUGCACUUCGGGAUAAGCCUGGGAAACUGGGUCUAAUACCGGAUAGGACCCUGGGAUGCAUGUCCUGGGGUGGAAAGCUUUUGCGGGGUGGGAUGGGCCCGCGGCCUAUCAGCUUGUUGGUAGGGUGAUGGCCUACCAAGGCGACGACGGGUAGCCGGCCUGAGAGGGUGACCGGCCACACUUGGACUGAGAGACGGCCCAGAGUCCUACGGGAGCCAGCAGUGGGGAAUAUUGCACAAGGGGCGCAAGCCUGAUGCAGCGACGCCGCGUGAGGGACACCGGCCUUGGGUUUGUAAGCCUCUUGCGGCACCGCCGGAGCUCAAGUGACGGUAGGUGCAGAAGAAGGACCGGCCAACUACGUGCCAGCAGCCGCCGUAA
rnacentral:rRNA from 1 species